AUGCUCGCUUCUGCAGCCCAUGUACUAGAAUGGGAGCAAUACAUACGAAAUUAGCAUGGCACCUGCACAUGGAUGCCACGUAAAUUCACAAAGCCUUCCAUGUUUUG